rnacentral:rRNA from 1 species
UACGUAGGUGGCAAGCGUUAUCCGGAAUUACUGGGCGUAAAGAGCGCGCAGGCGGUCGUGCAAGUCGCGUGUGAAAGCCCCCGGCUCAACUGGGGAGGGUCACGCGAUACUGCUCGACUCGAAGGCAGGAGAGGGAAGUGGAAUUCCCGGUGUAGUGGUGAAAUGCGUAGAUAUCGGGAGGAACACCAGUGGCGAAGGCGACUUCCUGGCCUGUUCUUGACGCUGAGGCGCGAAAGCUAGGGUAGCAAACGGG